GACGAACGCUGGCGGCGUGCUUAACACAUGCAAGUCGAACGGAAAGGCCCUGCUUUUGUGGGGUGCUCGAGUGGCGAACGGGUGAGUAACACGUGAGUAACCUGCCCUUGACUUUGGGAUAACUUCAGGAAACUGCGGCUAAUACCCGAUAUGAGCUCCUGCUGCAUGGUGUGGGUUGGAAAGUUUCGGCGGUUGGGGAUGGUCUCGCUGCUUAUCAGCUUGUUGGUGGGGUAGUGGCUUACCAAGGCUUCGACGGGUAGCCGGCCUGAGAGGGUGACCGGCGACAUUGGGACUGAGGUACGGCCCAGACUCCUACGGGAGGCAGCAGUGGGGAAUAUUGCACAAUGGGCGGAAGCCUGAUGCAGCAACGCCGCGUGCGGGAUGACGGCCUUCGGGUUGUAAACCGCUUUCGCCUGUGACGAAGCGUGAGUGACGGUAAUGGGUAAAAAAGCACCGGCUAACUACGUG
rnacentral:rRNA from 1 species